UAUUGUUAAGCAUAUUUGUAUAUUUUUUACUAGUUAUUUCAUACUUGCCCUGAAAGAAUACACAUUCAAAAAGCUUGAAAUUAGGCAAUGUCAGUCUCAUCAAACAAAACCAGCAUUGGAAGCGAAUAUUAACAAAUAUCAGAAUGAAAUUACAAAAUAUACAUCUCCAGCCUCAUAAAACAUGAAUUUUAUAAGCACUUUCAUAAACAUAAGAAAAAUAGCUUUGACAAUAACUAUUUGAAAACAUUAUUAUUAAUAAUCUUGUAUACUGUACAUGUGCACUUAAAUGUAAUAGCACCAACAUUCAUUAUAUUAUGAAGGGGAUACUUUAUAAGAAUUAUAAAUUAUUUUUACAUGAUUAAAUAAUUUUGGCAGAGUAAGUCCGCAGGACUUAAAUAACCAGUCAGCCUUAGUAUCUACAUCUGGACCAGGAAGCCUUUGUGUUACAGACACAGAUUCCCUGUGAAGUUCUCCAGGGUGUAAAGAAGGCCCCAGGGAGGUGCCGACGGGAUGUGAGGGCUGCCUUUCAGCUCAGGCGAGCCUGCAAGCAACAGGGCAGUUUGGGAAGGGUCACAGGCACAGGAAGGGAGCAGUGGGCAACCAUUGAUUACAUCAAACCAGGAUGGUUUCUUCUUUUUAAAGAAACUUUUGUUGAGUGUUUACCCACCCCCAUCCACACAAAUAUGCUCUCUAGGAAAUGUGAAAGU
rnacentral:lncRNA from 1 species